UACGGGGGGGGCAAGCGUUGUUCGGAAUUACUGGGCGUAAAGGGCGCGUAGGCGGCCUGCUAAGUCGGAUGUGAAAUCCCUCGGCUCAACCAAGGAAGUGCAUUCGAAACCGCAUGGCUGGAGUCCCGGAGAGGAUGGUGGAAUUCUCGGUGUAGAGGUGAAAUUCGUAGAUAUCGAGAGGAACACCGGCGGCGAAGGCGGCCAUCUGGACGAGGACUGACGCUGAGAUGCGAAAGCGUGGGGAGCAAACAGG
rnacentral:rRNA from 1 species